rnacentral:misc_RNA from 1 species
GAUGAAGAACGCAGUGAAAUGCGAUAAGUAGUGUGAAUUGCAGAAUUCAGUGAAUCAUCGAAUCUUUGAACGCACAUUGCGCCCUUUGGUAUUCCUUAGGGCAUGCCUGUUCGAGCGUCAUUUAAACCCUUCAAGCUCAGCUUGGUGUUGGGUGACUGUCCGCCGCCCCCGGGCGCGGACUCGCCCCAAAUUCAUUGGCGGCCGGUACGUAGGCUUCGAGCGCAGCAGAAACGCGAACUCGGGCCCGCGGUGUCGGCUCCCAGAAGCCAUCUCUUUUAUUUUGACCUCGGAUCAGGUAGGGAUACCCGCUGAACUUAAGCAUAUCAAUAAGCGGAGGA